rnacentral:ncRNA from 1 species
GGGUGCGUCGGCAUCGGGCCGCCGCAGGUAGACAUCGGGUGGUCGGGCCGCCACUC